rnacentral:sRNA from 1 species
GAGAAGUUUCUGGAUUGGACGGAACUGAAGAGACCGAAUGAGAAGAACCCCGGGGAACUUGCCCAGCACAAGGAAGACCCCAGGGCUGAUGUCAAGGCAUACGAUGUGACACGGAUGGUGUCCAUGCCCCAGACGACAGCAGGCACCAUCCUGGACGGAGUGAACGUCGGCCGUGGCUAUGGCCUGGUGGAAGGACACGACAGGAGGCAGUUUGAGAUCACCAGCGUCUCCGUGGAUGUCUGGCACAUCCUAGAAUUCGACUAUAGCAGGCUCCCCAAACAAAGCAUCGGGCAGUUCCACGAGGGGGAUGCCUAUGUGGUCAAGUGGAAGUUCAUGAACAAAAGCACCAAGCAUCGAGUUCAUCAUUGGCUUGUUCACCAUUGUAGCCCAGAAUCCUGAAGUCCCCGCUCAUUGAAUAUUUGUUGAAUGCAUGAAUGAAUGAAGGGAAUCUAGAGUGAGACAUGUUCUUACAGUGGGAAGUCGCCAGAAGGGAGAGCACUCGGUGAGGGCAGCCGGCAAAGAGAAGUGCGUCUACUUCUUCUGGCAAGGCCGGCACUCCACCGUGAGUGAGAAGGGCACGUCGGCGCUGAUGACGGUGGAGCUGGACGAGGAAAGGGGGGCCCAGGUCUCAGGCUGUGCCUCCCAUUUCUUUCCUCCUCCCACUUUUUGUAAGAUGAUCCUGGAGAAAAUGUUGUAUCUGCAAAUAGGAAAUCCACAUGACAAGUGCAGAUGGCCAAUGAGUGGCUUUGAAAGGUUUCCACCUAACCAAUCAAGGCACU